UACAGGGGGGGCAAGCGUUGUUCGGAAUUACUGGGCGUAAAGGGCCAGUAGGCGGCCAACUAAGUCACACGUGAAAUCCCCAGGCUUAACCUGGGAACUGCGUGUGAUACUGGAUGGCUUGAAUUCGGGAGAGGGAUGCAGAAUUCCAGGUGUAGCGGUGAAAUGCGUAGAUAUCAGGAGGAACACCAAUUGCGAAGGCAGCUCGCUGGGACGUUACUGACGCUGAUGCGCGAAAGCGUGGGGAGCAAACAGG
rnacentral:rRNA from 1 species